AUCGAACGCUGGCGGCAGGCUUAACACAUGCAAGUCGAACGAGUGGCGGACGGGUGAGUAAUGUCUGGGAAACUGCCUGAUGGAGGGGGAAAACCACUGGAAACGGUAGCUAAUUCCGGCUACCAUCGGAUGUGCCUAGAUGGGAUUAGCUAGUAGGUGGGGUAAAGGCUCACCUAGGCGGCGAUCCCUAGCUGGUCCGAGAGGAUGACCGGCCAAACUGGAACUAGGACAGGGUCCAGACUCCUACGGGAGCCAGCAGUGGGUAAUAUUGCACAAUGGGCGCAAGCCUGAUGCAGCCAUGCCGCGUGUAUGAAGAAGGCCUUCGGGUUGUAAAGUACUUUCAGCGGGGAGGCGUUACCCGCAUAAGAAGCACCGGCUAACUCCGUGCCAGCAGCCGCGGUAAUAC
rnacentral:rRNA from 1 species